UUUUCCUACGGGACGCAGCAGUGGGGGAUAUUGGACAAUGGGGGAAACCCUGAUCCAGCGAUGCCGCGUGAGGGAAGAAGGUUUUCGGAUUGUAAACCUCUGUGGAGGGGGACGAUAAUGACGGUACCCCUUUAGGAAGCCACGGCUAACUACGUGCCAGCAGCCGCGGUAAUACGUAGGUGGCGAGCGUUGUCCGGAAUUACUGGGUGUAAAGGGAGUGUAGGCGGGAAAGCAAGUCGUAAUUGUAAACUAUGUGCUUAACCCAUUGC
rnacentral:rRNA from 1 species